rnacentral:lncRNA from 1 species
CGAACCUUCGGACUUCCUUCGAACUCUCGAACUCGCAACAAAUCCUUCGCGCUUGACUCCGACACUUUGUUUCGCUUUAUGUCUUCAUCGUUAUCAUAGCUAAUCCUGCACAAUUAAAGAAAAACUUCGAUCGAGACAAUUAAUCCUAAGCAAUUAACCAAGUUGUCCGGCAUGUCAUUGGUCCCUCGACGCUUCGUCCGAUUCUUCGGCGCAUCGUCCUUUCCUGCAGCCUAUUGCCCAAUCGGCCAGUUGACUCCGCAACUCCGAUAUCCUUGGCACAAUACCCGCUCUUCUUGGCCCGAUGCCCGAGUCCACGACCCGAAGCCUUCUGUCGAUACGUCGACCGAUCCACCGGCCCGACGUCCAAUCUUCUGACAUGUUCCUCCGGC